GCCCUGGUGGCUCAGUGGUAAAGUAUCUGCCUGCAAUGCAGAAAACUAAGGUUCGAUCCCUGGGUU
rnacentral:tRNA from 1 species